rnacentral:rRNA from 1 species
ACUGCUCAGUAACACGUGGACAACCUGCCCUUAGGUUGGGUAUAAACCCGGGAAACUGGGUAUAAUACCCGAUAGGUCUCGAUUGCUGGAAUGCAUCGAGAUUUAAAGCUCCGGCGCCUAAGGAUGGGUCUGCGGCCUAUCAGGUAGUAGUGGGUGUAGCGUACCUACUAGCCUACGACGGGUACGGGUUGUGAGAGCAAGAGCCCGGAGAUGGAUUCUGAGACACGAAUCCAGGCCCUACGGGGUGCAGCAGGCGCGAAAACUUUACAAUGCUGGCAACAGCGAUAAGGGAACCUCGAGUGCCAGGUUACAAAUCUGGCUGUCGAGAUGCCUAAAAAGCAUUUCAUAGCAAGGGCCGGGCAAGACCGGUGCCAGCCGCCGCGGUAACACCGGCGGCUCGAGUGGUAACCGUUAUUAUUGGGUCUAAAGGGUCUGUAGCCGGCCGGAUAAGUCUCUUGAGAAAUCUGGCAGCUUAACUGUCAGGCUUUCAGGAGAUACUGUCUGGCUCGAGGCCGGGAGAGGUGAGAGGUACUUCAGGGGUAGGGGUGAAAUCUUGUAAUCCUUGAAGGACCACCAGUGGCGAAGGCGUCUCACCAGAACGGACCUGACGGCAAGGGACGAAAGCUAGGGGCACGGACCGGAUUAGAUACCCGGGUAGUCCUAGCCGUAAACGAUACUCGCUAGGUGUCGGCCACGGUGCGACCGUUGUCGGUGCCGUAGGGAAGCCGUGAAGCGAGCCACCUGGGAAGUACGGCCGCAAGGCUGAAACUUAAAGGAAUUGGCGGGGGAGCACCACAACGGGUGGAGCUUGCGGUUUAAUUGGAUUCAACGCCGGAAAUCUUACCGGGACCGACAGCAAUAUGAAGGCCAGGCUGAAGACUUUGCCGGAUUAGCUGAGAGGUGGUGCAUGGCCGUCGUCAGUUCGUACUGUGAAGCAUCCUGUUAAGUCAGGCAACGAGCGAGACCCCCGCC